rnacentral:tRNA from 1 species
GGCGCAAUAGGCAGCGCGUUCGGCUGUUAACCGAAAGGUUGGUGGUUCGAGCCCACC